GGCCUUCGGGUUGUAAACCUCUUUCAGCAGGGACGAAGCGCAAGUGACGGUACCUGCAGAAGAAGCACCGGCCAACUACGUGCCAGCAGCCGCGGUAAUACGUAGGGUGCAAGCGUUGUCCGGAAUUAUUGGGCGUAAAGAGCUCGUAGGCGGUUUGUUGCGUCGGCUGUGAAAUCCCGAGGCUCAACCUCGGGUCUGCAGUCGAUACGAGCAAACUAGAGUGUUGCAGGGGAGACUGGAAUUCCUGGUGUAGCGGUGAAAUGCGCAGAUAUCAGGAGGAACACCGGUGGCGAAGGCGGGUCUCUGGGCAACAACUGACGCUGAGGAGCGAAAGCGUGGGGAGCGAACAGGAUUAGAUACCCUGGUAGUCCACGCCGUAAACGUUGGGCGCUAGGUGUGGGGCUCAUUCCACGAGUUCCGUGCCGCAGCUAACGCAUUAAGCGCCCCGCCUGGGGAGUACGGCCGCAAGGCUAAAACUCAAAGGAAUUGACGGGGGCCCGCACAAGCGGCGGAGCAUGUUGCUUAAUUCGAUGCAACGCGAAGAACCUUACCUAGGCUUGACAUGCACGGAAAUCUCCCAGAGAUGGGGGGUCCGUAAGGGCCGUGCACAGGUGGUGCAUGGUUGUCGUCAGCUCGUGUCGUGAGAUGUUGGGUUAAGUCCCGCAACGAGCGCAACCCUCGUUCUAUGUUGCCAGCACGUGAU
rnacentral:rRNA from 1 species